CAAGUCGAACGGGCGUAGCAAUACGUCAGUGGCAGACGGGUGAGGAACACGUGGGAAUAUCCCCUUCAGUUCGGAAUAACUCAGGGAAACUUGAGCUAAUACCGGAUACGUCAGAGAUGAGAAAGAUUUAUCGCUGAAGGAUUAGCCCGCGUCUGAUUAGCUAGUUGGUGAGGUAAUGGCUCACCAAGGCGACGAUCAGUAGCUGGUCUGAGAGGAUGAUCAGCCACAUUGGGACUGAGACACGGCCCAAACUCCUACGGGAGGCAGCAGUGGGGAAUAUUGGACAAUGGGCGAAAGCCUGAUCCAGCCAUGCCGCGUGAGUGAUGAAGGCCUUCGGGUUGUAAAGCUCUUUUGUCCGGGAAGAUAAUGACUGUACCGGAAGAAUAAGCCCCGGCAAACUUCGUGCCAGCAGCCGCGGUAAUACGAAGGGGGCUAGCGUUGUUCGGAAUCACUGGGCGUAAAGCGCACGUAGGCGGCUUGUUAAGUCAGGGGUGAAAGCCUGGAGCUCAACUCCAGAACUGCCCUUGAUACUGGCAAGCUUGAGUGUGGAAGAGGUUGGUGGAACUCCGAGUGUAGAGGUGAAAUUCGUAGAUAUUCGGAAGAACACCAGUGGCGAAGGCGGCCAACUGGUCCAUUACUGACGCUGAGGUGCGAAAGCGUGGGGAGCAAACAGGAUUAGAUACCCUGGUAGUCCACGCCGUAAACGAUGGAUGCUAGCCGUCAGGGAGCUUGCUCUUUGGUGGCGCAGCUAACGCGUUAAGCAUCCCGCCUGGGGAGUACGGUCGCAAGAUUAAAACUCAAAGGAAUUGACGG
rnacentral:rRNA from 1 species